rnacentral:rRNA from 1 species
AUUGAACGCUGGCGGCAGGCCUAACACAUGCAAGUCGAGCGAGCGGCGGACGGGUGCGUAAUGUAUGGGGACUGCCCGAUAGAGGGGGAUAACUACUGGAAAAGGCGGCUAAUACCGCAUAAUGUCGGAUAACCCAUAGGGGAUUAGCUAGUAGGUAAGGUAAUGGCUUACCUGGGCGACGAUCCCUAGCUGGUCUGAGAGGAUGAUCAGCCACAAUGGGACUGAGACACGGCCCAGACUCCUACGGAGGCAGCAGUGGGGAAUAUUGCGCAAUGGGCGCAAGCCUGAUGCAGCCAUGCCGCGUGUAUGAAGAAGGCCCUAGGGUUGUAAAGUACUUUCAGUCGGGAGGCGUUACCGACAGAAGAAGCACCGGCUAACUCCGUGCCAGCAGCCGCGGUAAUAC